rnacentral:tRNA from 1 species
AGCUGAAUGAAGGUAAAGCAUCUGCCUGCAAUGUGGGAGACCCAGGUUCGAUCCCUGG